GUCCCUUCCGGGACAUCCGAUAAAAUUGGAACCAUACAGAGAAGAUUAGCAUGGCCCUGCACAAGGAUGACACGCACAAAUCAAUAAAUGGUCCAAAUUUUU